rnacentral:rRNA from 1 species
UACGAGGGGGGCAAGCGUUGUUCGGAAUUAUUGGGCGUAAAGGGUUCGUAGGCGGUGCGGCAAGUUGGGAGUGAAAUCUCUGGGCUCAACCCAGAGGCUGCUUCCAAAACUGCUGUGCUUGAGUGUGGGAGAGGCGCGUGGAAUUGCAGGUGUGGCGGUGAAAUGCGUAGAUAUCUGCAGGAACACCCGUGGCGAAAGCGGCGCGCUGGACCACAACUGACGCUGAGGAGCGAAAGCUAGGGGAGCAAACAGG